GAUGAACGCUGGCGGCGUGCCUAACACAUGCAAGUCGAACGUGAGAGAGUAGCAAUAUUCUUGAAAGUGGCGAACGGGUGAGUAACACGUGGGUAACCUGCCCUGAAGUGGGGGAUAACAACUAGAAAUGGUUGCUAAUACCGCAUGAGGCUAGAGUAGCGGGAGCUGCACUAGCGAAAACUCUGGUGCUUCAGGAGGGGCCUGCGGCCGAUUAGCUAGUUGGCGGGGUAAAGGCCCACCAAGGCGACGAUCGGUAGCUGGUCUGAGAGGACGAUCAGCCACACGGGAACUGAGAAACGGUCCCGACUCCUACGGGAGGCUG
rnacentral:rRNA from 1 species